ensembl:piRNA 21ur-775 ncRNA
UUCCAGAAAUAUUUGUACUCC